CCGAGACCUCCCUCUGGCUAUUUAAGUGUCAGAAAUGAGGAUCUCAAGAGUGAUGCAUCAAAGUUGAUUGGAAUCAAGUGUAAGAGAACAUUGACGGCCAUUCCACCUUUGACGUCACUUCCAUUGUCCACCCUCCUGGACUCACACCUUCCUGCUUGGAAUGCAUAUGACUAGCAGUUUGGCCAUCUUUGGCUACUCCUGUUUGGGGUUACCACAGUGGAUCAUCU